rnacentral:lncRNA from 1 species
UGCCACAAUUACAAUUAAUUUUGAAAGUUUGACAUGUAUUGGAUGAUUUCCCAGAAACUGCAAAUUAAGGGAGACAAAAUUUGAGUCAAUUUAUUUAAGAUAUCCAUUUACAACCCAUAUUCCCGAUAAAUGUUAUUUAUGUUAACAAUGAACAUAGCUCUACUGGAAGUAUCAGACUUAAAGUCUUAUAAAGUAAUUAUAAAAUAUCAAACACAAAGAUCCCUUUUAGAUCUUUUAUCAAACAUGUACACUGCAAUAAAUUUGUAAAUGUAUUAAAAUCAGACUGUGCAAGAUAUAUAACCAACAAAAUAACGGAAAUAAUAAGACUAUACCAUACCCAUCCACUUGAGUUACAAAGCUCAGUGUACUAUUACAAUCAACGUGGCCAAAUUCAAACUGAUCUUGACCUAAUAACAGAUAUAGGCAAACCACACUAAUUACAGGAGCAAACAACACAUACAUAACAAAAUCUAUACAAAUUAUAAAAGGAAGAGAGGAGAUGGGUUACAAAAAAUUACCCAACUCCUAUGCCGACGACUUGAGAGGGCUUCUUUCUAAAGAAUCCAUGUAUUACAACUGAAAAACUAUAUAAACGAAGAAGUGAUACAAUGAAUGGAGACACUUGGAUUACAAUGAAAAGCGGCGAAAAACAAAAUGGGAUCAGAAGCUUUACCUGCGGAAGGAGUUAAAUUUGAAAAUUUUGAAUGUAGUAAGAUGAUUUUGGAGGAGAGAAUCGUAGAGAGAGGGAUGGGCAACACGUGGAGCUUUGGUAAGGGAAAGGAAGGUGUGGAUGACACCAACGUAUACAUACGGGUAUUGUACAUAAGUGUUUCUGGAAAUACAACAAAUACACAUGGGUGGAAUGGUCAUUUCAAGGGUAAAAAAACAACAGC